AAGGGAGACCUAAUUCCGGUAGGAGACGAAAAAAAAGUAGUCCCUACCAAGAAUCAAUCCCAAAAGGUCGAAGCGAGGCAAGAUUGGCUUUCAAACUAGGUUCUGGGUUCAAACAAGACCUGAAUCAGGAACAAGGGCUAUUAGCUCAGGUGGUUAGAGCGCACCCCUGAUAAGGGUGAGGUCCCUGGUUCGAGUCCAGGAUGGCCCACCUGCACAGGUGGCAAAAACAAAGAAGCGAGGAAUCAGCACCUUAUCUUACUUAUAUAGUAAGAGAGAAUGCUGGCUCUGAGUAAAGAGUCCAGAGGAACCUUGAAAACUGCAUAGAGCUAGGUGAAAAAGCCAAAAAAGAAGACCGCAA
rnacentral:tRNA from 1 species